CAUACAUAAAUUCAUCCUCGACCAUGCACAAAUUCUCUCUCUUUCUCUUACAUGCAUGCGGGCCAUAAAUGGCUAGGAUUUUGGCAUUGGUGCGAAGUCUAAAAUAUAAAAAAUGAGCCUAUAAAUUUAAAGAAGUUUCCACAAAUUUGUAAGAUAUGAAAAUUACAUUUACAUCCUUAGAAUUUGAUCCAUUUGUACAU
rnacentral:lncRNA from 1 species